rnacentral:rRNA from 1 species
GACGAACGCUGGCGGCGUGCUUAACACAUGCAAGUCGAACGGAAAGGCCCUGUAUUUGUGGGGUGUUCGAGUGGCGAACGGGUGAGUAUCACGUGUGUAACCUGUCCUUGACAUUGGGGUACCUUCAGGAAACUGGGGCUCUUACCGGACAGGAGAUCCUGAUGCAUGGUGGGGGAUGGUAAGAUGCGGUGGUUCGGGAUGGACGCGCGGUUUAUCAGCUUGUUGGUGGGGUAGUGGCUUACCAAGGCGAUGACGGGUAGCCGGCCUGGGAGGGUGACCGGCCACAAAGGGCCUGGGAAAGGACCCAGAGGGCUACGGGAGGCAUCGAUGAAGAACAGUGCGCGAAGGGCGGAAGGAGGGAAGAACAAUGCCGCAUGCGGGAUGACGGCUGUUGGGUUGUAAACCGCGUGAGACUGGGACGAAGCGUGAGUGACGGUAAUGGGUAAGAAAGCACCGGCUAACUACGUG